rnacentral:rRNA from 1 species
CAGCAGUAGCCACGGUAAUACGAAGGGUGCAAGCGUUAAUCGGAAUUACUGGGCGUAAAGCGUGCGUAGGCGGUGAGUUAAGUCUGCUGUGAAAUCCCCGGGCUCAACCUGGGAAUGGCAGUGGAUACUGGCUCGCUAGAGUGUGUCAGAGGAUGGUGGAAUUCCCGGUGUAGCGGUGAAAUGCGUAGAGAUCGGGAGGAACAUCAGUGGCGAAGGCGGCCAUCUGGGACAACACUGACGCUGAGGCACGAAAGCGUGGGGAGCAAACAGGAUUAGAUACCCCAGUAGUCCCUGUCUCUUAUAC